UGUUUCAUGGCUAGAAAGAGGUCAUCCCUGAGAGGUCCCAGCCUAGACCUGAAGUCAAACUGUGAAGUUUGACCCUCCCCAGAGUGCAGCUCCUGCUAAGACCAGACUGAGCCAGAACAGAGGAGAGGGCAGAUAGAGAAAGUGCCCUGCUGCCAUGACACCAUCUCCCUCAUGAAGGGCAGGGCUUCCUUCUCCUUGCUGAGUUUCUUGUUUUCAGUUUGAGACAGAAUCUUACAGCCCAGGCUGGCCUCUAACUUGCUGUGUGGCAGAAGAUGACCUUGAACUUGUGAUUCUCCAGAUUUCAUCUCCUUAGUGCUGGAAUUAUAGGGUUUACUGCUGUGUUUACAGGAAGGAUUUGCUCAUUCUCCGUGCUAGGGCUGGGUGUAAUUGGGGACUCAUCAUCUUGUUUGCAAGACUGAUGCUUUCUAGUUCUCGAAUCACCUUUGAAGUGUCUCUUUGAGGCCUGUCCUCCCAGACUGGGAAAGAUAAUGGCUUUCCUGUAGGACUCCGGCUGGCUUUACCCAGCCUGACAAAGCUUCCCAGUCAUCAAUAAGGCUGGCUUUUGUGUUGCUGCUAUUGAAAUCUAUAGUCUAAGAAACAGAUUCAUUCACAAGGAAACAGACAGCUACUAGCCAGUAGACGGGAGGCAACAAAUGAUCGCGUUUUAAUACAUUAUUUAUCACCUGUUCAAUUCAAACAUCUUUCUUGUGCAGCUCAUCAGUUCAGCAACACUGAAAGCCUCUUACUCACUCGCUGCUGUAUCAAUACAGACAACAAAGGUGUCCUGAUACUACCGAAGCAGUCACUGAUUACCUGAGAACUUCUUGGUUUUUGCCUUUAGUAUUCUGUUUGGAGCACUCUUUUUCUGGGUCAAGCCAUUUCAGUGGUGGAAACAACCUUCUUUCAUUCUCAAGCAUACACGGCAGCACUCUAUACGUUGAGAGGAUAUGGGUUUGAACACCGGCAGGUGUACGAACUCCCAACAUGCUGGGGAGAUGUAUUUGUCAUGUUGUUAACUGAGAUGUGUGUGACUUGGCUCUUGCAAAUGUUUCCUUUAGGGCUGAAAACUCUCCAAGACCCAGCUAAGGCUUCAUGUCCCUUUGCAAAGCUGUGCCCACCUGGCCAUUUUCAAAGUGCUGGAGGUUGGUCUGGGGCCAAGCAUCUCAGGUUUCUUAAAGGCCAGGGCUCUUUCUAUUUGCCAUGGUGGAUGGUGUGGAGUCAUUACUGUGCUAUAGUAGUCAUGACUGCCAUUUAUAAAGCUACCUGUCCUUAUCUGAGAAAAGAUCCUUUAUGCAUAUGCAAAUGUAUCUCCCUUUUCUUGGUUUGUAUACCUCUCCUUUGUGCUGUAUAGUAACCAUUGAGGGAUGUUCAGAAUCCAAACUUCGUCACACAUUAUUGCUCUAAGUAAUAAUGGAUUUGGAAUCUAAAUCUGGAGUUCACUGGUAGGAAUCAGUGAACCUUGUUCCUCUUAUGUACAUGUAACAAUGUCCCCUGUCAACAACUGUCAGUAGAAACACAUGUGGGGGAGAAUAGUAUUAAUUAUAUUCAAUUCCAUGUCAUAAAGGAGUGAUCCAUAUAAUCACCACCAUGUUUUGUACAUAUAAAAAUAUUUCCUGUAAAUAUACACAGGCAAGUGCAUUGCCAUUAUCCAGGAUCCAGGUGGGAAAAGAUAAAGUCAAGGACUUUAGUUUAUUCCAAGUGCAUAUUUUAGUUCUGGUAAAGGAGUUAAUACUUUCAGGGAUUUGUGACACAAUUAUAGAUCUAAUUACUUAAGUUCCUGGUACCAAGUAGGUUAUUUCUACCUGAUCUUCAAAGCCCAGACUCCCCAAGACAGAGACGUACAACCUUGGCCAAGUCAGUAUUAAGCAAAUGAUUUAACAUCUAAUGAGUUAAGAGGUUCCCUAAAAUUAUUUUCCAAUCCUGGUGUCCAGGAACCCAGGGAAGAAUCUAGUCAUGGGUGUGCAUUUAUUUAAUAGAGAUUGAAGAAAAUCACUUGGAAGCUAAGAGUGUUGGUAUUCUAAUAAAAGAAUAGAUUUAGCUUAUAAGAAAAAAAAUCUGGAUUUUUGGAGAAAUUGUUUUUCAUUUAAUCAGAAGCACAUGACAGAAAAAGGAAGCACAUUUGUAUAUAGUGGCAACUAUAUUUCUGAUAAUAAAUUUCAUGAAAUGUUUUCUGUACCAAUCAGAAUAGGCAGCUGAGAACCUUCCUCUCUGAAAAUAAGACAGUUAUUCAAUGAGUACAUUCUUAGGAAAGCUUUCUCACUUUCUUUCAUGAAAAUAUUAGAUUUUGGAAGUUUAAAAUAACUGUAUACCUGUGGAUAGCCUCGAUUCAUGUAACUACAUUCAGGUCAGAUCUUUUAUAAGAAUAGUUAUUGUUGAUAAAUAUAUGGUAUUUUCAAAAAGCAUUUUUAGAUAUCCAUUUAUGGAAGCUUUUUAGAGGAUUAAGUUCUUCCUUUGGUUCUUAGUUUCCUUUCUCAUGUGAGUAGCAGCAGAAGAAAGCAACCAGCCAUUUGAAUUAGCUUAUUACAAAAUGUGGAGUAUGUAUAAACUUUAAAUGAUAUAAUAUUUGGAUUAAUAAAACAGAAUAUAAACACUAUAGAACAGUCAAAAACUACUAUUCUUGAAGCCAGAAAAAAAUCAUUUGGAGACAUAUAACAUAUUAAAAAUAUGGGGACAUAUAACAUAUUAAAAAUGCAAUAGCAGAGAUUGAACUGAUUGACUCACAAUUCUAUAAUUUAUGGAAGAAAGAAAAACAUUAGAGGGUAAGUUUAAGCUGUUUUGAAGACACUUUCCCUUGGUUUUCUGAUAUGUUCUUUUCAAAUAUUCUGAAAAUUUAAGAAGUAUGUGUUUCAGGUACUUAUGGCUAAGUUUUGAUAUUUGAUUGGGUUAUUCCAUAUUUUCAUCUUUCCAAAAAGAGUUUAUGUUUUAACACUUUCAGGAUGUUAAAGAUGUCCUCAAAAUGGUUCAUUGGACAUGGUGAGUGUCAAUGAAUAUUUACUGUAUAAUGAGAUCUGAGGUUAACAACAAUAAAACUGCAAAUCAGAAUAGAAAUAUGUUUCCUAACUUUUCCAUGUAAACAAUAUUUCAAUGUGUAUAAAAGUGUUUAGUUCCUCAGUUUUGUGCUACAUAUGAUUUGAAGCAGUCUGACCCGGAUGGCACCAGAUUGAAUCAGUCUUCCCACUCCACGAGGGCUCCAUGUUUAUCAAGGUCUCUUCCUUCUAAAACUGGGAGCCCUGUUAGGAUUAGCAACAUGUUCUAAGAUGGGCCCAUAGGGUACUUGCCUCUGUGCCUUGCUAACCAAGCUUAGGAUUUGACAAUGGGCAUGAAAUGUUCAUAAAGAAUUGCUUUGAUGAUGCUUCACAAACAGAAAGAAGGUCUCUGGGGGAGGAAGGAAGGUUGGGGAGGGGCUGGAAUUUUAUCUUACCUUCUCAUGUGUUCCUAUUGGGGAAAGAAAAACCAGGAAAUCCCUUGAAGCUCUGAGAAUCAGACAAUACCAGGCUUCCAGCUGGACACUACAGAAGCCAAGUGCCACACCCCACUGCAGGUCUCAGUGGGGCCCCAGGACUUCACAUCUUUAACAAGUCUGAGUGGUGCUGAGGAUGUGGUUAUGGGGACUGUUCCCUUCCCAGGGUUAGGGCAACAACUAAAAGAGAAAGAUGCUGACAGUCCAUGGUUUGUUAGGCUAAAACAGGCCUGCCUGGAUCUCACACUCUUUUGCAUCUCUUCUCUGAACCUGGGGGCUUGACAUGAACUUCUGGAGAUGCCUGGCCACUCUGGGAUGAGGUAAGAGGCUCCAGAGUCAUCAUCACUUUGAAACUAUUUUGAGGAAGAUCCACCUCAGUGUCCCUAGAUUAUAGUCACUGAGGUAAGACACAACCUCGACAUUUCCUAGCCAGACAUCUUGGCAGAUGAUUUAACCUCCGUGCCCCUAAUUUCCUCAUCUACAAAUGGGAAGAACAAGAAUUAGCUGCUUCCUGGACUGUAGUCCAUGAACAUGGUAUGUGUAAAGUAGUGGCUCAUAGCAAGCAAGAGAAUUAGUCAGAAAAAAGGCAGUUCAGAGGGUACAAAUGAGGAGGUUACAAUGCAGGAACUACACACAGAAGAGUAUAAAAAUGUUCAGGUACUCAGAGAGGAAACUAAGCCUCUGGAGGUCAGAGAGAUCCACAGCUUGCAGGAGGACCACCCUGGAAAGAGCUACUGUAGUCAUAUAAGGGAUAAGCCACUGCCCAGGAUUCUGCAUCAGUGUGAGAUUGUGGUAAAAUAUAUAUAUGCUGGCAUCUCUUUCUUCCCCCUGCUGUUCUUCAAGGUCUCUGAUUAGCAAUAGCAGAAGGCAAGAGGACCAGCUACAGUGUGCAGGAGUCUGCCUCCCACAGGGCAGAGCAGAGAGAGAAACACAUCAAGGAUGGAGCAGUGGCAGGUGGGGGGUCUGGAACACAGUGCCGGAUAGGUGUGUAGUUGCUACUGGAUGAAGAUUUACACCAGUUUCUUGGAAAUUUCAAUUUAUGCUUGUGGUAUACUUUCAAUCUUAAAGGUAUUUCAUAUCUCAGGGGAUGUUUGCACCAACACUCUAAAACACCAUGUCAUUUGGAGUUCAAGUUACACGAGCACUCUAGUCAUUAUCAAAGUGUGGGAGAAUCUGUGAUGUGGCAGACUUGAAUACUUUCUCUCUGCCCAGUGCAGCAUUCCUGGAAGUGGCUUCUCCCUUAGAACAGAAAGCAAGUUCAGUCACUUGGCCCUGACUCGAUGAAAUUAAUGUUUGGUCUAUUGAUCAGGCAGGUGUUACCUGGGUGUGUCGGGUGGGGAAAGACACAUCUAGCACACUCAGAACAGCAAACAUUUGUGAUAUGUUGACUUUGUCUUAUUUAUAUCAUGCAGCAAUAAAUGUGUUUGUUGUUGCUAAGUCCCUAAGCCAUAUCCCUUUCAGAAGCUAUCAGACUGGCUGGGCCAAGAGCACAGAGGGAGACUCUUUUCCUGGAGUGGUGUAGAAAAGCCUGGAAGCCUGGCAUCUCUCUGAAAUGCUGUAUCAAAGGCCCAGCCCAGCACACAGGGCAGUGGGUAUACGAGGCCUGCCUCUGAGAAUCCUCCAAGGAGGCCUCGAGGAGCCAAGGCACACUUAAGCUUGUCUCCAAAGAACCCAAAACUCAUCCCAGACUUGCUUUGUCUGUUUAGCAAACUCACUGCACACCUCACCUGUCUUUGCGCCUGCCGUCUAGGAGGGUCUUUGAAAUUUAUUUUCUCCUUUUAGCCUGCUGUAUUUUUAAUGUCUGAGUGAAAGAACAAAGGAAGGCGAACACCAGACAAGAUCGUUUCAUUCCUCCAUGAGCUGCGGUGUAGCUCCGCUCAAGCUCAGCUAACAUCAAUGUUUUAAAAUUCCGUCUUUGCUAGAGAACCGGUGCUGGGGUAGUCAUCCACGCCAAAGUCAGGGCCCUGUUUCUGCCUUUCAUUUGGGGACAUAAAAGGCCCGUGCAUCAAUCAUUAACAAUCUAUUAACACUAGCAGCUCAGAGAGGUUUUCCUGGUAUGGUCAACCUCAUUGGAAGAAAUUCCUGCUGCCCAGCUGGCCGUCUGUCCGUGUGAUCCACCCAUACUGGCUGUUUUCAGCUUUGAAAGGGCUCACUGACUCCUCUUUCAUCUCUCCCUGAGUAAUAGAUACCUGGUAGGCUGGCUCUCCUCCUCCCCCACUGUCAGCUUCCCCACCUGCCUCCUCAGACUUCUGGCUUGAAGAACCGCUUGCGUGAACACUGACACUAUUGAUUGUGUGUAAGUGGCGUGCGGGGCUGCUAGACAUCUACCUGGAUAUGCAGGCAAGAGGAUAGGGCUGGUUCAUCUACAUGAGCAGAGCAGGGAGGGUCUUGGAAGUCUCUGCUUGGUGUUCCCGACUGUUGAAUUUAAUUGGUUUAAACCAGUCGGCAGGAAGAGGUCUAGCUCAUCAAUCAGAACCUGCUUUGGAAAAGGCUGAUGGAUUGGGUGCACAUCUGGAAGUUCUGCAAAACCUAGAGAGUUUUGGUCUAGACUUUCCUUUCCUCCCUCUGUGACAAAAUACACACCACACAAAUGUUACCAUUGUGACUACUUAAAGAUAGACUCAGAGACAUUGAAGCAGCUCCAUGGCAUUGCACCACACCCACCCACAGCUUUCAUGAAUCUUCCUAACUUAAAGACUCUCCAUGCAACCUUAGUCAGUAAAUCAGCCUGUCUCAGCCCCCAUUGUCCUUAAAAACCACUGUUUGACCUCUCUCUGAGUUUAACCCUCAGCUUUAUAUAUGUGAAGUCACACAGUGACUGGCUGUGACUGGCUCCUUUCAAUGCACAUGCCAGCAUUUUAUAAUAAAUAAUUCUAUAAUAAGUAAAAUAUUUAUAAUAUAUUUUAUUAUAAAAAACUAUUUAUAAUAAGCAAAUAGUAUUUAUUUAGUCAUUUAUUUACUUUACCACAGUCUGCAUGUCCCCUCACUUACCCAUGGAUGUCCUGUUGUCUCUAACUUUGGCCGAUUGCGAACGGUGUUAUUAUAAACACGUGUGCAGAGACUGCCCUCCAGAAUCUCUGCUCUUGAUUGUCUGGGUUAGAAACCCAGAGGUAGACCACCAGAGCACUUGUCAGUCCUGUGUUUAGAAUUUUCAGGCUCUGUCAUACUGCUUUCCAUACCAGUUAUCCUGUGCCUUACCUACACCCAGCACUACACGGGAGGUCCAAGUUUUGUAGGGAUUACUGAAGUGCCAGUGCUCUCCCCCCAAUGCUUUUUUCCCCUCCUCCUCAGCGGAGGGGAAGACCACAGGCAACUUAAUGGGAUAUUUAGCUGAACUCACCCCUCAGCUGCCUCUUGUAUGUGAUUGAUAUCUAGAAGCUCUGUGGCAUUUCUUUCAAAGUAGAGUCUCAUCCUGGUCCAGCUGGCCCCUCCCCAGUGUCCUCCAUGUUCCUUCUGCUGCAGGGUGCCCUGGCAUUUUCUUCCUUCAACAAUGAAAUGAGAUUCCCUGGGAGGUGUACAUGCCAUGUGGUGUGUCCGUUUGCCUAUUAUGGACAAGGGUUGCUUCUGCCUUCUAGAUAAUGUAAAUAACGUUGUUAACAAUGUAGGUUUACAAAUAUCUUCUCUGGUUCCUCUGGACCCGCUGGCAGGUGGGAAUGAAGUUUCUGUAUCUUCAGUGCUGACUUUGAUACUGAGUCAUCAAAUGACCUUCACCAGGUGCUCAGGAUUGAGUUGGGACUGGUGUGUGUUGAACACGUAUUCUGCUACUGAGCUACAACUUAGGACUAUCAGGACUAUACUGUCUGCACCCCUAGAUCCACGAUUCUGAUUCCUUGUCCAUGGAGAUAGCAAGAACAGCAUGGUCUUCACCAGUUACUACAUCCUGCUUUACUCACCACUGAGCUUGCAUGGUCUCAGGAAGAGGAAAAGAGGGUCUUGGGAGAUCUCUUCUUCAUCCACCAAUCUGGCUUCAUGUUUGCAGCAUGGGUCCUUUACUCUACACCUUGUUGUCAAAGUCUUUCACUGAGCUUCUGAUACCUGCCACCUGCCAAUUCCAUACCUCACUGUCCCUUCUUGAUUGACAAUAGAGGAGAGUUUUCCUGUCAUCUUCUCUGUCACUAUUACACAAGGGAGUCUCUUUGAGUACUGAUAUUGUACUGUGUGAUCAUUUGAAAUCACCAUAGAAACACACCUCUGGCUUCAUCUAUGAGAGUUUCCAGAAAAGUUUAACUGGAUGGGGAAGCCAAGCUUUGAAUGUGGUGACAUUAUUUUAUGGACCAGUUUCUCAGACUGAAUAGAAAGGAGACAGCAAGCUGAGUACCAGCAUUCACAUUUCUCUGCUUCUUGACCGGGCUCCAUGUGACCAGCAGCCCCAUGCUCCUGCUGACCUCUGUUCCCCUCCACAGUGGACUAUAUGCCAUCACAUCAUGAGCCAAAGUCAGCCCUUCCUUGCUUACAUUGCUGUUGCCAGGAUGUUGUCACAGCAGUGAGCCAAAUAACUAAUGCAUCCCCUAACUCCAUCACCCUUUGGCUUUGAACUCCUUGAGAACAAAAUGAUGGUGUGACUAUAACGAAGAAUGGUGCCUGGGAAAGGGGCUGCUGUGAGAAUGAAGCGAACACCUUCUAGCAUCUUCAGACCAGAGUCCUUGCAGUGAAGGACUGCAAGGCUCAAGAAAGUCUAUGCCCCUUCUCCAGCAUCCCAGACCUCUGUUAUCUGUGUUCCCUUCUCCUUAAAGUAUGUUGACUCUGGCAGCAUAGCUGUUCCUGCUGUUCUGUCUUCUCAGAGUUCUUCAACAGGCCAAAUAGGCAGUAGCCUCAGUGCCUUUGUACUGGUUGCUUGCUGCCUGUGCCUGGAAUUCAAUUCUGUUCCCUCAAAUAUCUAGAUGACUGACUCCUUCCCUCCUUCAAGUCUCUGCUUAUACACCUUCCCAGAGAAGACUUCUAUGAUCUUCCAAUAAAAACAAGCACCUUGUUGUAGCAUUUACUACCCCCACCCCAGUGUUUCUGAUGCUCCGUAUCACCUUCUGACCAGCCAUUAUCUGUGUUCUUGUGAAUAUGUG
rnacentral:lncRNA from 1 species